rnacentral:hammerhead_ribozyme from 1 species
AUUCAACUGACGAGUCUCAAAUAGGACGAAAAAUUAGUCCUGGAU